CGCCUUCAACCAUGGCGGGCGCCCAAUCAGCUUUUAACCCUCACCGCUGCCAGCCCAGCCCAUAAAGGAGGCUGGGCGGAGCGCGCCCCAGAGGGGAACGACCUAGAAAUGCGCCCGCUGCGGGCUUUACGCUCCCCGUCGUGGCCCCCGUGGGAGCGGGCGGCCUCGGCUGGGCCUGGCCCGGCUGGCUUGAGGUGCCCGCUCGAGGGCAGCCCGGAAGCGCCGGGGGCGGGCGGUGUAUAACGCGAGGCCUGUCCGCGCUUCCUCUGCCGGCGAGGGGGGGUGGCCGCGGGGCCACGCCUCCCCCGCCCGUGGGGCGCAGUCCGGGGGGGGGGGAUCUCGUUCUCUGGCGUGGCUCUGGUGGGUUCGAAAUAAAACCACCAAACCCACUUACUGUACGUGGACUUGGUGCCCCCGGGGUGCCAGAGCGGCGGUGAAGUUACUGGAUUGAAGAUGAAUUCUCAGGCCCUGCACCCUCUUCUGCUUCAGCGUGUGUACUUCUCCCCUGCCAAGAACUGUCACUGGCUCUCUUGCUAAUGGAUAGUUGUUUAAUACAGCUAUGGAUCCUGCCUGAAGCCACCUGGUGCCCCUCCCACUAAGGGAUAGCCUACCCCUGUGUGUAAAUCAUGCUCAUUCUGUGCUCAGAAGUGCAUAGGGUCACUGCAGCUGUGCCUGAAAAGCAAAAGGAAAUUAAAUAGUAAAGACAUAAAUUCUGGGUGA